UACGAAGGGGGCUAGCGUUGUUCGGAAUUACUGGGCGUAAAGCGCACGUAGGCGGACCGAUCAGUCAGGGGUGAAAUCCCAGGGCUCAACCCUGGAACUGCCUUUGAUACUGUCGAUCUGGAGUAUGGAAGAGGUGAGUGGAAUUCCGAGUGUAGAGGUGAAAUUCGUAGAUAUUCGGAGGAACACCGGUGGCGAAGGCGAGUCUCUGGGCCGAUAUUGACGCUGAGGAGCGAAAGCGUGGGGAGCAAACAGG
rnacentral:rRNA from 1 species